UCACCGCCCCCGGAGGGCACAGAAAGAUGAAAGGCAAACAAUUUGUCUUCAGAGUCUCCAGAAUUAUGAGUAGCAAGAGAUCCACGCACAGAGGAAGUUCUACGCACACUCAACUAAAGAAAACAUCACAAAAACGUUUUUCUCAGUGACACAAUUAUUAUCUGGAACAAGUCAUUUUUCAGGCAACAUAACAUCUGCACAGUAUAAUCAGUAAGUGACUUCUUGGGGAUCCCCUCCAUGUCCUACCACAUCUCUCCUUCCAGCCAAAUCUCCUUCUCCAGCCUCUCUUCUUUCACCCUAACAUCCCACUGCUGCCAGUAUGCCCUACAGUUAUUCAAAGGCUCCUUGGUGUACUAUGAAAAAGUGGGAAGAGAUUUCAAAAAAAUGUUUCAAGGCUACUUCUGCAGUCAGUGUUUGUCACCUGAGAAAGUAAGUAUCUCCUACAUUUUUGAUGUUUAAAUAUACUUGAUAUAAAAGGUGUAAUAAUCAUGAAUAACAAAAUGAUAGGUAAACAGAUAAUAAGAUAAUAAGCAAGAGUAGAUAGAUAACAAAGAAAAGUUCCCUGUAAAACUAACAUUUGUUGUUAGACUCUGCAGUGUGAGAUGGA